CUUUCCUGUGUAUAACAAUCAGUAGAACAAGCAGAGACAGGUGGGGAGAGAAUUAUCCAAAGGAGGUUCCUGGAGGUAUCAGGCACUCAGAAAUAUGUUUCUAUAGAUGAGUCCUGUUUUAUAUAAUAAAAAUAUAAAUAUUGGUCUGUUCCAGGCAUGAGAGAUGGAGAGAUUCCUCAUGGUGCUUCUGAUUGGGAACUUUGCCAAAGGUCAAUAUUCUGGGGCAAAUGUCACUCAAUCCCCGAAGUUUCUACUCAUCAAACCUGGGGAAAGUGCAGAGAUUCAGUGCCACCAAGAUAACAAGAACUUUGACUACAUGUACUGGUACCAACAAGUGCCCGGGAAGGAGCUGAAGCUCAUGAUGCUCUCGAGAAAUUCAGCUUCUGUAGAGAUGGAGAGUCAAUAUGAGGCCGAGUGGGAGGCAGAAAGAAUAGGGGCGAUGAACUCCAGUCUGAGGCUGAAGAAGGGGAAGGUGGAAGAUUCUGCCACGUAUUUCUGUGCAGCGAGUUUACACAGUCACUGACAUUCUAGUAACACCUGCCACCAAACCCACGGCCUGGCACAGCUAGAGAUGUACCACCGGGCAGCAAGGAGAGUCCAGGCUAGGAAAUGAUGGGUUAAUCAACUAAGUGCCCCUGGCCCUUUCCACCCCUCAUAAAUGCAAGUUGGUACAGACCUGUCAGAUUCUGUUCAUUUACAGAGAUAUUUUAUUAUUUCAUAUAUUGUUGUACAUUUCUUGUUUGCCUUAAAUUUCUCAGAGUUCCCUGUAUAACUCAGCCUGCAGCCUUGUGUCUUUAUAUGGUCACAGAA